rfam:Mycobacterium marinum M, complete genome.
CGAUGCCUCUGGAAAGCGGUGGUGACCCGUAGCGGUCCUCGCCCGCCGAUGGGGAAAGGCGCCCGCUUGGGCUGGGCGCUGAAUCUCUCAGGCGCCUGGUGCACGGGUGAAGACAGAGGGAGAGGG